GGCUAGCCUCGAGAGGAGUCUAACGGAGGUAAAGCACUGAACUGACGCGGGUCCCAAAAAGGAUACCAACUCAUAUCAAACUAAGAAUGCCGUCAAGAUACCCUCGGGAGUCAGACUAUGCGAGAUAAGUCGCGUGGUCAAAAGGGAAAGAGCCCAGACCGACAGCUAAGGUCCCAAAGUACGUGUUAAGUGGAAAAGGAUGUGGGAUUUCACAGACAACUAGGAUGUUGGCUUAGAAGCAGCCAUACAUUUAAAGAGUGCGUAAUAGCUCACUAGUCGAGAAAACCUGCGCCGAAAAUGAAUCGGGGCUAAAACACGACACCGAAGCUACGGAUUGCCUGCAAGGCAGGCAGUGGUAGAGGAGCAAUCUGUGAGGACGAAGCCUGACUGAGAGGGAAGGUGGACGACACAGAAGAGAGAAUGCCGGAAUGAGUAGCGAGAUAGAAGUGAGAAACUUCUAGGCCGGAUAUCUAAGGUUUCCUGAGUAAAGCUUGUCUUCUCAGGGUAAGUCGGGGCCUAAGGCGAGGACGAGAGUCGUAGUCGAUGGAUAACAGGUAGAAAUUCCUGUACUGCAAGUAAUCAGAACUGUGGGGACACAGGAGGAUAACCAAACCGGGGAAAGGGAAGACCCGGCUAAGCAAGGAGCCGAUCUUGGUAGGCAAAUCCGCCGAGAGAUGGUGAGAUGUGAUAGGGACUGAAUAAAAGUAGGGAAGUUGGUGAAUCCACACUGUCAAGAAAAGCCGCUAUAGCGUUACUUGUACCCGUACCGCAAACCGACACAGGUAGAUGAGGAGAAAAUCCACAGGCCGACGGGAGAAGCGUUGUUAAGGAACUCGGCAAAAUGACCCCGUAACUUAGGGAUAAGGGGAGCCAACGAGAGUUGGCCGCAGAAAAGAGGCUCAAGCGACUGUUUAGCAAAAACAUAGGUCUAUGCGAAACCGUAAGGUGAAGUAUAUGGGCUGACACCUGCCCGGUGCUGGAAGGUUAAAAGGAGAGGUUAGCGCAAGCGAAGCUUUGAAUUCAAGCCCCAGUAAACGGCGGCCGUAACUAUAACGGUCCUAAGGUAGCGAAAUUCCUUGUCAGGUAAGUUCUGACCCGCACGAAAGGUGUAACGAUUUGAGCACUGUCUCAACAACGCGCCCGGUGAAAUUGAAGAGCCAGUGAAGAUACUGGCUACCCGCAACAGGACGGAAAGACCCCAUGGAGCUUUACUGCAAUCUAAUACUGGGAUUCGAUGAUGUAUGUACAGGAUAGGAGGGAGACUAGGAAGCAUGGACGCCAGUCUGUGUGGAGUCGCCGGUGGGAUACCUCUCUUAUAUCAUUGGAUUUCUAACCAGUGCCCGUAAGCCGGGCAUGGGACAAUGUUAGGUGGGCAGUUUGACUGGGGCGGUCGCCUCCUAAAGAGUAACGGAGGCGCUCAAAGGUUGGCUCAGCACGGACGGAAAUCGUGCAGUGAGUGUAAACGUAGAAGCCAGCCUAACUGCGAGACCGACGGGUCGAGCAGUAACGAAAGUUGGAGUUAGUGAUCCGGCGGUAUGUGAGUGGAAAUGCCGUCGCUCAACGGAUAAAAGCUACCCUGGGGAUAACAGGCUGAUCUCCCCCAAGAGUCCACAUCGACGGGGAGGUU
rnacentral:rRNA from 1 species